UUUAUAAUUAUCAAUUGCAAUCAUCAUUAUUAUCAUGUGUAAUGUUUUGUACUUCGAUCACACCAUAUAUAGCUUCAAAAUCAUCACGACAACAUAUUAGUUCCCAAGUUCAAAGUUUGUGCUUUAAUUUUGUUGAAUACCAGGUUGUCAAAAUUGCUUCAACAUCAUAAAUUCAUUUCUCCAUCCAAUUCAGAUC